rnacentral:rRNA from 1 species
AUGAACGCUAGCGGCAGGCCUAAUACAUGCAAGUCGAGGGGUAGUGGAAGCUUGCUUCCAUGAGACCGGCGCACGGGUGCGUAACGCGUAUGCAAUCUACCUCUAUCUGGGGGAUAGCCCGAAGAAAUUCGGAUUAACACCGCAUAAAAUCACAGUACGGCAUCGUACAAUGAUCAAAUAUUUAUAGGAUAGGGAUGAGCAUGCGUGUCAUUAGUUAGUUGGCGGGGUAACGGCCCACCAAGACCACGAUGACUAGGGGAUCUGAGAGGAUGACCCCACACACUGGUACUGAGACACGGACCAGACUCCUACGGGAGGCAGCAGUAAGGAAUAUUGGUCAAUGGAGGCAACUCUGAACCAGCCAUGCCGCGUGCAGGAAGACAGCCCUCUGGGUCGUAAACUGCUUUUAUUCGGGAAUAAACCUACUUACGUGUAAGUAGCUGAAUGUACCGAAGGAAUAAGGAUCGGCUAACUCCGU